AUUCUGGUUGAUCCUGCCAGUAGUUAUAUGCUUGUCUCAAAGAUUAAGCCAUGCAAGUACACACGAAUUAAAAGUGAAACCGCAAAAGGCUCAUUAUAUCAGUUAUGGUUAAUUAGAUCGUUAACAGUUACUUGGAUAACUGUGGUAAAUCUAGAGCUAAUACAUGCAAUUAAAACACGGACCUUCUGGGACGUGUGCUUUUAUUAGACUAAAAGCAAGCGAUCAAUUGAUCGUUAUAUUGGUUGAACUGUAGAUAACAUGCAGAUCGUAUGGUCUUGUACCGACGACAGAUCUUUCAAAUGUCUGCCCUAUCAACUUUUGAUGGUAGUAUCUAGGACUACCAUGGUUGCAACGGGUAACGGGAAAUCAGGGUUCGAUUCCGGAGAGGGAGCCUGAGAAGCGGCUACCACAUCUAAGGAAGGCAGCAGGCGCGUAAAUUACCCACUCCCAGCUCGGGGAGGUAGUGACGAAAAAUAACAAUACAGGACUCAUAUCCGAGGCCCUGUAAUUGGAAUGAGUACACUUUAAAUCCUUUAACAAGGACCAAUUGGAGGGCAAGUCUGGUGCCAGCAGCCGCGGUAAUUCCAGCUCCAAUAGCGUAUAUUAAAGUUGUUGCGGUUAAAACGUUCGUAGUUAAACUUGUGCUUCAUACGGGUAGUACAACAUACAUUUGUUGUUAGUACUAUACCUUUAUGUAUGUAAGCGUAUUAUCGGUGGAGUUCUUAUAUGCAAUUAAGUACUUGUACUUUUUUAUAUAUUCCUCCUAUUUAAAAACCUACAUUAGUGCUCUUAAUCGAGGGUUUUUGUGGGCCGGUACAAUUACUUUGAACAAAUUAGAGUGCUUAAAGCAGGUUUCAAAUGAAUAUUUGAUGAAUAUUCUGUGCAUGGGAUAAUGAAAUAAGACCUCUGUUCUGCUUUCAUUGGUUUUCAGAUCAAGAGGUAAUGAUUAAUAGAAGCAGUAUGGGGGCAGUGAGAGGUGAAAUUCUUGGACCGUCGUAAGACUAACUUAAGCGAAAGCAUUUGCCAAAGAUGUUUUCAUUAAUCAAGAACGAAAGUUAGAGGUUCGAAGGCGAUCAGAUACCGCCCUAGUUCUAAACAUAAACGAUGCCAGCUAGCAAUUGGGUGUAGCUACUUUUAUGGCUCUCUCAGUCGCUUCCCGGGAAACCAAAGCUUUUGGGCUCCGGGGGAAGUAUGGUUGCAAAGCUGAAACUUAAAGGAAUUGACGGAAGGGCACCACUAGGAGUGGAGCCUGCGGCUUAGUUUGACUCAACACGGGAAAACUUACCAGCUCCGAACAUAAGUGUGUAAGACAGAUUGAUAGCUCUUUCUCGAAUCUAUGGGUGGUGGUGCAUGGCCGUUCUUAGUUCGUGGAGUGAUUUGUCUGGUUAAUUCCGAUAACGAACGAGACUAAAAAUAUAUUAAAUAAAUAUCUUCAGGAUUAUAGUGUUGAAGCUUAUAUUGCCUUCAUUCAUGGUAGCAGUAAAAUAUUUAUUGUGUUUGAAUGUGUUUAUAUA
rfam:Drosophila willistoni strain TSC#14030-0811.24 scf2_1100000001208 genomic scaffold, whole genome shotgun sequence.